ensembl:lincRNA
GUUGUUACCAUUGUUGUUUUUCUUUUUCCUGCUUGUCUUCCUGUUCACUACAAUUAAUAAGGAAUUUUUUACUUUGUGACUUCUGGUUCUGGCUAUCUGCUCUUGUAUCACAGACAACUAAUAUGAAUUUUUUUUCAGUUGCAGUGCAAUAAAUUAUUAUUGUAAAUGUUCUCCCCACACCUCUUUUGCUCCAAGAUAAAUAAUUUGAAUGACAAUAAAUAUGGAGAAAGUAUUCAAAGAGAAUGGGGGCAAAAUUUAUUGGCCAAAAAUCACCAAAAUCCAGUGAAUUUAGGGAAACCUACUGCAUUUCAACUGAAUGGUUCCCGGAUUAGUUCAUCCCUGUACCUUAGUACUCAAAAUUCUUUCUGAAUCUUGGAAAUAAAAAGAAAACAUUACUUGGGUGAACAUGUAGUAUCACUGUGAUUUAAUGUACUGCUUUGUUUAAUGCUCACAAUAAUUUUGUGAAGAUGUAUUCUUAUCCUUAGUUUUUGACUGUAUGAGCAAUCUGAGGCUCAGGUUGUUUCUCUAAGUUUCCCAGUGUCAGGGUGCUAAUAAAUAGCAAAGGUAGAACUGAAAUUGUUUUUUCUUACUUCAAAAACAAUGUUAUUUUCAUUUCAGCACAGAGGCCAAUGGAUAGCUGGAAAUGGUUCAGAACUGUAUAAGCCUGUUGCCACUAAAUUGGAGGUGGACAUUUGCCCACAAUAUCAAACCAUUUUUAUGGUGAUGCUUUAUGAAUACACCUACUUUGUUUUGGAAGUUAUGUAUAAAUGUAUAUCUAUAUGUCUAUGUAUCUAUUAUCUAU